AAGAGAUUCUCUUUCCAAUUGUUGGAGUUACCAACUGGAGACUCAAGACGAACCAGAGAUUUUCAUUGAUAGAUAAUAUUAUAACUCACCCAAACAGAGAAAAGAUUAAAAUAAUCUGGACCAAAAAGGAACCCAGGUUGCCUCAAUCAAAGCAAGAGUAAGUCCAUAACCCGUGGAUGGAGCUGAAUGAUAUCAUUUGAGAAUAAAAGAUCCCAAAGCAUGUGAUGAAAGAUGAGAGUAAAGUUAAAGCAAACUGAGAUGAAUUACAGAGAG